CCAAUACUCCCUCCGUCCCAAACUUCUUGUCUUAGAUUUGUCUAGAUACGGAAUCUUGUCUUAGAUUCCGUAUCUAGACAAAUCUAAGACAAGAAUUUUGGGAUGGAGGGAGUACUUU
rfam:Triticum aestivum genome assembly, contig: Triticum_aestivum_CS42_TGACv1_scaffold_178049_2DS